rnacentral:rRNA from 1 species
UACCAGCACCCCGAGUGGUCGGGACGUUUAUUGGGCCUAAAGCAUCCGUAGCCGGUUCUACAAGUCUUCCGUUAAAUCCACCUGCUUAACAGAUGGGCUGCGGAAGAUACUAUAGAGCUAGGAGGCGGGAGAGGCAAGCGGUACUCGAUGGGUAGGGGUAAAAUCCGUCGAUCCAUUGAAGACCACCAGUGGCGAAGGCGGCUUGCCAGAACGCGCUCGACGGUGAGGGAUGAAAGCUGGGGGAGCAAACCGG